rnacentral:rRNA from 1 species
GACGAACGCUGGCGGCGUGCCUAAUACAUGCAAGUUGAGCGCUGAAGGUUGGUACUUGUACCAACUGGAUGAGCAGCGAACGGGUGAGUAACGCGUGGGGAAUCUGCCUUUGAGCGGGGGACAACAUUUGGAAACGAAUGCUAAUACCGCAUAAAAACUUUAAACACAAGAUUUAAGUUUGAAAGAUGCAAUUGCAUCACUCAAAGAUGAUCCCGCGUUGUAUUAGCUAGUUGGUGAGGUAAAGGCUCACCAAGGCGAUGAUACAUAGCCGACCUGAGAGGGUGAUCGGCCACAUUGGGACUGAGACACGGCCCAAACUCCUACGGGAGGCAGCAGUAGGGAAUCUUCGGCAAAGGACGAAAGUCUGACCGAGCAACGCCGCGUGAGUGAAGAAGGUUUUCGGAUCGUAAAACUCUGUUGGUAGAGAAGAACGUUGGUGAGAGUGGAAAGCUCAUCAAGUGACGGUAACUACCCAGAAAGGGACGGCUACUACGUG